rnacentral:rRNA from 1 species
AUUAAACGCUGGCGGCAUGCCUUACACAUGCAAGUCGAACGGCAGCACGGGGCAACCUGGUGGCGAGUGGCGAACGGGUGAGUAAAGCAUCGGAACGUGCCCUGGAGUGGGGGAUAACGUAGCGAAAGUUACGCUAAUACCGCAUAUUCUGUGAGCAGGAAAGCAGGGGAUCGCAAGACCUUGCGCUCUGGGAGCGGCCGAUGUCGGAUUAGCUAGUUGGUGGGGUAAAAGCCUACCAAGGCGACGAUCUGUAGCUGGUCUGAGAGGACGACCAGCCACACUGGGACUGAGACACGGUCCAGACUCCUACGGGAGGCAGCAGUAGGGAAUAUUGGACAAUGGGGGCAACCCUGAUCCAGCCAUGCCGCGUGAGUGAAGAAGGCCCUCGGGUUGUAAAGCUCUUUUGUCCGGAAAGAAAGCAAUCGGUUAAUACCCGGUUGUUCUGACGGUACCGGAAGAAUAAGCACCGGCUAACUUCGUGCCAGCAGCCGCGGUAAAGUCGU